GCCUUCGUGGUGUAGUGGUCAGCACACUCGGCGGGUAUUCGAGAGGCCGUGGUUCGAUUCCCGGUGGGAGCC
rnacentral:tRNA from 1 species